rnacentral:rRNA from 1 species
AGAGUUUGAUCCUGGCUCAGAUUGAACGCUGGCGGCAUGCCUUACACAUUCAAGUCGAACGGUAACAGGGAGCUUGCUCCGCUGACGAGUGGCGAACGGGUGAGUAAUGUAUCGGAACGUACCUUUCAGUGGGGGAUAACGUAGCGAAAGUUACGCUAAUACCGCAUAUUCUGUGAGCAGGAAAGCAGGGGAUCGCAAGACCUUGCGCUGAUUGAGCGGCCGAUAUCAGAUUAGCUAGUUGGUGAGGUAAAGGCUCACCAAGGCGACGAUCUGUAGCGGGUCUGAGAGGAUGAUCCGCCACACUGGAACUGAGACACGGUCCAGACUCCUACUGGAGGCAGCAGUGGGGAAUUUUGGACAAUGGGGGCAACCCUGAUCCAGCCAUGCCGCGUGAGUGAAGAAGGCCUUCGGGUUGUAAAGCUCUUUCGGCCGGGAAGAAAUCGCAUGGGUUAAUACCCUGUGCGGAUGACGGUACCGGCAUAAGAAGCACCGGCUAACUACGUGCCAGCAGCCGCGGUAAUACGUAGGGUGCGAGCGUUAAUCGGAAUUACUGGGCGUAAAGCGUGCGCAGGCGGUUUUUUAAGACAGGCGUGAAAUCCCCGGGCUCAACCUGGGAACUGCGCUUGUGACUGGAAGGCUAGAGUAUGGCAGAGGGGGGUGGAAUUCCACGUGUAGCAGUGAAAUGCGUAGAGAUGUGGAGGAACACCAAUGGCGAGGGCAGCCCCCUGGGCCAAUACUGACGCUCAUGCACGAAAGCGUGGGUAGCAAACAGGAUUAGAUACCCUGUAGUCCACGCCCUAAACGAUGUCAACUAGGUGUUGGGUGGGUAAAACCAUUUAGUACCGGAGCUAACGCGUGAAGUUGACCGCCUGGGGAGUACGGCCGCAAGGUUAAAACUCAAAGGAAUUGACGGGGACCCGCACAAGCGGUGGAUGAUGUGGAUUAAUUCGAUGCAACGCGAAAAACCUUACCUACCCUUGACAUGUCCAGGAGCCUGAAGAGAUUUGGGUGUGCCCGAAAGGGAACUGGAACACAGGUGCUGCAUGGCUGUCGUCAGCUCGUGUCGUGAGAUGUUGGGUUAAGUCCCGCAACGAGCGCAACCCUUGUCGUUAAUUGCCAUCAUUUAGUUGGGCACUUUAACGAGACUGCCGGUGACAAACCGGAGGAAGGUGGGGAUGACGUCAAGUCCUCAUGGCCCUUAUGGGUAGGGCUUCACACGUCAUACAAUGGUCGGUACAAAGGGUUGCCAAGCCGCGAGGUGGAGCCAAUCCCAGAAAGCCGAUCGUAGUCCGGAUCGCAGGCUGCAACUCGCCUGCGUGAAGUCGGAAUCGCUAGUAAUCGUGGAUCAGCAUGUCACGGUGAAUACGUUCCCGGGUCUUGUACUAACGCCCGAUGACU